CCUUCUCUCUCCACUCAGCAUGACCUAUAUGCCAAUUGUCUCACCACACAUAAUUCUUUAGACAUAGUUAUUUUGGACCGGGAUAAUGAUACUUAGACAAUAUUUUUUUAACAAUAUUUGAACAUCAUUUACGUGUCAUUAUGUGAUCAGUCAAAAAUUAUUCCACAAUCAAUAAUAAUAAUCAUAAAAACCACGAUGGACCAAUUACAGAAUGACAUGUAGAUGAUGUUCAAAUAUUGUUAAAAAAAUAUUGUCUAAGUAUCAUUGUUUUUUUGGACCGUGGACUCUUUCUUAUGAUUUCAUCAUUUGUAUCGGCUGUCACGUGGUUACUACUAGUUGUUCCCAUAUUCCCCUUAUUUGUCUUUUCUCACAUUGGUUUCAUUAGAUUUCCUCCCCUAUUAAGAACAACAAGGUUGAAUUCCAGAAAAGAAGAUUCUAUUGCAGUGUGAUCAUCCCAAGUAGCUUGAGUGUUAUGUAAUCCCUUCCAUUGGACUAAGUGUUGUUGAACAUGCUUCAUGCCCUAGAUAAUCCCCCGAGACUGAAGAAUAACAGCUGGUUGAAGUACUGGUUGUGCAUCCCCGAAAGAUAUGAGUAAGAGAAUAUAAGAUUGAGAAUGAUUCUCUUACAAGGCUUAAGCUGUCAAACGUGAACUGGAUGAAUUCCAGCAGUCUCAGGUAACCACAGCUUGUAAACAACCUUGCCAAUCCUUUCAAUAAUUGGGAAAGGACCAAAGUACUUCAAACUUAGUUUCUGGUUUUUUCCUUAAAGCAACAGAGUGUUGUCUAAAAAGGUUGCAAUUUGACCAACACGUUAUCUCCAACCUUAAACUCCACAUCCAUCCAUUUUUUAUCUGCAUUUUUUUUUUCAUUAUUUGUUGAGUUCGAUAAAGAUUAUGCUUAAGAUGGGAGAGAACAAUGUCUCUCUACAACAACUGCUCUUGAACUGAAAUCAGAUCUGCUGGGUCAAGCACCUAUUUCACUAGUUGCGGGGAUCUCUUCCACAUUCUGCCUAGAAAGGAGUCUUGUCCGUGUUGUGGUGAUAGGAAGUGUUAUUCCAAAAUUCAGUUCAAGUCAAGAAUUUGACUCACUAUUUAGGAUUUUGAAACGUGCAUCUUACUUAAAUACAUUUCCGAACACUUGUUCACAGCCUCGGAUUGACUAUAGGAUUACGGGCGAUUAGCCGUUGACAUACUAAGUGUGGCACCACUCGACCUGAACAAAUGUUGCCAAAAUUGGCUGAGACUAUGGAUUUUGGGAAUCCAUGUAGUUUAAUCACCGUCGACACAAAAUUCCCUACCACUUGUUUACUGGUGUAAUCUGUUUUCAAAGCAGAGAAAUGGUCGUACUUAGACAGUCUAUCUACUACUACCAAGAUCAUUGUAAAGCCAUGAAAUGGCGGAAGUCCAGUAAUUAAAUCCAUAGCUAAGUCUUCCCAAAUCAGAUGAGGAAUUGGAAGUGGUUGUAAUAACCCUAAGGAAGAGUAUUAGAAGUCUUUGCUUGCUGACAAAUCAAGCAAUUUUGAACAAAUUCUUUGAUAGCAGUAUUCAUCCCUUCCCAAUAAAAUUGAGAAGAAAUUCUAGCCAAAGUUCUGGAAUAACCCAAAUGACAAGAUGUGCUAGAACUUUGAACUCAUGUAAUACUUGUUGGACUAAGGAAUGAUCACUGGAAUAACUAAUCUUCCCUUCCAAAAUAGAAGACAUUGCUUAACUGAAUAAUGAGGAUUGGAAGGUUGGUUUUGCGAGCAAGCAUCUAAAUUUUUUUUCAACUUGAAAUCUGGAAGUAAUGCUUCUUUCAAUAAGGAAAUGAAGUGCAGUUGAGGCUGGGAUAGCGCCACAUAAAUGGAUAUAGAAAGGGAAUCAACAACAUUGUCUUUUCCAUGUUUGUAUUCUAUCGUGGAAUCAUACCCCAAAACGUUUCUUCUCCCCUUCUCUCUCCAAUCAGAGUGACCUAUAUGCUAAUUGUCUCACCACACAUAAUUCUUUAGCCAUACGUUAGUUAUUCUGGGUCGUGGGUUCUUUCUUAUGAUUUCAUCCUUUGUAUUAGUUGCCACGUGGUUAAUAUUUGACUAUUUAAACUUUAUUGGGAGCUAGAUAGGUAUAAAUUAUAAUAAUGUUAAAAAAGGUUUACUAAUGUAAUAGAAUCAUCGUCCACCAUAGCCAAAUGUACGGUGAACGAGCUUAUUAUUUUGAUUCUGAAUUUGAAUUUGCCAGUUUGACACAUUGCAAGUUCCCAAGGGUAUUCUCAGUUUAUUUGUUUAAGAGACGGAUAUAUAAGAUAACAAUGACAAUCAGUUAUAUUAAUUCUUUCAAUUAUUUUUUAUUUUAAAAAUUAAAUUAUUGAUGUAUAUUAUAAUUAAAAUAAAAUUGUCGGUGUCUAUUUGAAAAAGUUGUCAAAAACUAUGUUUUUUUUUCUAUAAAAUGUUAUAAAGAAAGGGUGUGUAAAAUUUGCCUGAUAACAAUUUUUACUUUCAAAAGAAGGAGAAUGGGAAAUUCACCAGCUAUUCAAUUAAAACCUAUACAUAUAGUUCCUCCCUUUUUUGUAAAAUGCAUGUUGAUAUUAAAAAAGUGUUUGUUGAAAAACCAAAUACUGCAUGGGUCGGUUUAAUAUUGUAUAUACAGCAUGGUCAAGUUUUGAGGCAGUGUCUCUCGUUCAAACGUUAUCUUUUCUUUGACUUUAAUUCAUGAGAUUCGGUAAGGUCUCUAUUUGGGAAACACACUGCCAUAUUUUUAACAACUUUUUUAUAAAAGAGUGGUUAGUAUAUUUGAAACAGAAAAAUCACAUAUUAUCAUAUAAAUGAUUAUAAAAUAAUAUAAAAAAAAAGUGAUUAAAGAUAUAUUUUCUUUAGAAAACAUUUCUACUUAAAAAUAUCUCCUUUUUGAAAAAUGCAUCAAACCACACUGUACGAAUGGGUAGAUUAUUUUGCUUACACAUAUUUUAUAUUUAUUAUUUUUAUCUUAAUUUUAUUCAAUAAGUUUCACUCAUAUUUUAUAUUCAUUAUUUCAUCUUUUAAUUUUAUUUUUUGUAGAUAUAAAAGUUAACCUUUUUAAUAAAUAAAAUAUGGAUUUGCAAGUUGUGUAUCUAAUAUCAAAAAGGUUUUCAUAUAUUCAAAAUGCUUACUAUAACGCAUCUUCCCCUCAUGUUUACAAUGAACAAUAAGUUGAAGAUAUGAAGCGUUUGUAGGGUUAUAAUUACAUAGACCACUCAAAUAUUAAUGAAAUAUAAAUACUCUUUUUAUGCUAAUAACUCGAAUUCUCAAUUUUGUAUAUAAUUAAGUCAUUAAAAGCAUGAAAACACGCCUUGUUUUUACAAUGAGCAAACACUCUAUACAAAGUACAGACUGCAUAAAGGUAUAUCAGAUCAGUUUUUGUGAGAGAAGUUCUUUCUUCUAAAAAAAACAUAGUAACAACAUGGGGGAAAAAACAAUGUAAAAUCCAAAAUCGGAAGAAAAAAGAAUGUAAUGGCUGAUUUAAUGUCGUUAGUUAAUGUCCAGGUCCUUUUUUGCUGGGUCCAGAAGCUAGUCUAAAAGCCAAGCUGCGUUUGGAAACACGAGUGGUUGAAUUGUUGGAAGAAACAACAAAGAAACCUCCCCAGAGAGAAGAACCUGAUCCUUGCAACUGUACACAGUCAUCAGCUACCUCUGUUAGCACCUUCGAUCGAAGAACUCGGCUAUGCACCAACCAUAGCUGCGAUGAAAACACGAGCAUUAUGGUAACCAACGAAAUGCAAAGGCUCUUCUUCAUCGGCAUCUCUGUUCACGAACCAAAGCCUUUGACAAAUAAUAAUAAUAAUAAUAAUAAUAUUCCUUAUUUUGAAGGGCCUCUUGGUAUUUUUUGUUGGUAUAUUUCCAGCUAUUGUAUGUUUUGGUCUAAACGAAGAGCCAGAGUUGGUUUAUAUAGAGAAAAGUUUUUGGUGAGGACGGUGAAGCGCUUUCGACGUGGGCCCUUAAGAGUUGCAUUAUGAUUUGACUUUUGCUAUUUCUUUCCACUUGAAGAUUUCUGGUGGCGCCCGUGUGGGGAUUAUGCUUUCUCACUUGCGCAUUGUUCCUUGGAAGUUCUUCAACUUUUCCAAAUUUUGACCUUCUAAUAAAUACCAACAUUAUAAGAUCUUCAAGUUUUCACCAAUAAGAUCCCAGCUCGACAAACAUCAUAAUAAUAAAAUCAGUGACAAGGAAAGAAGGAAAAAUAAGGAAAAGUAGGUUUACGUUGUUAUGCUUUUGCCUGUUCAUGUUCAACCUUUUACUUUCAUACUGGGAUUUGACUCUUGCUUGUCUUGUUGCCAAUUAAUCAAUCUCUUACGCGCUGCAGGCUCAGUUCAUUCAUAUUUCAGUUUUUAAACAUUUUUGUGUACUUCUUUGCCGCAUAAUAAUAUUUUCACAACACUUUUUGAAAAAUUUUUUUACAACAGGUGUCAUUAUUUGAUUGGUCUAUUUGAAUUUAUUUUUAAAAAAUAUUUAAAAUGGACUAAUCACAAACUUCCAUAUAUACAUUCUAAAAAAAUUGUUAAACAAGUGUCGUUAAAAGAAAGUUUUCGUUUUUUGCAUGCUUCACACAACUAAGAACGUGUCCUUUCAAAUAUAUCGUCCACCUGUCGAGUACGGAAAAAGAGUGUCUGUCGCCUUUUCUGAGUUCAAGCGCAAGACGGUGGUGUAUGUAUGUGGCCCAUGGCAUCAAAACCAUGCGCAUAGAAACGUCAUCUACAUCUUCUAUAUAUGUCACAAGGUUUAGGGUUACUGAUAGGGUGAUUUCACAAAAGAAAAGCUUGAAGCCACUUGCCUGUUGUAGUAGGUGCUUAGUUUAUUAAAAUAGAGAUUUAAAACCCCAAAAGGCCUUCAAUGUUUUUGAUUAAUAAUGCUAUUUAUUUAUGCAAUCAUUUAACAAAUAUAUACAUAUCCUGCGCCGAACUUUAUUCUCACAAGAUCAUAAUUGGGUCGUUGUUACAAUCUUAGUAUGACUUUUAAAGGGCCUCAAAACAUAAUUUAAUAGUAUAUACCCUUCACCACAC
rnacentral:lncRNA from 1 species